rnacentral:rRNA from 1 species
UAGAUGCGAGAGUAGAGCAUAUCAAUAAGCGGAGGAAAAGAAACUAACAAGGAUUGCCUUAGUAACGGCGAGUGAAGCGGGAAGAGCUCAAAUUUGAAAUCUUCAAGGUUCUACCUUGACGAAUUGUAGUUUAAAGAAGUGUUUUCUGUUAGAUGAGUAGCAAAAGUUCCUUGGAAUGGGACAUCAUAGAGGGUGAGAAUCCCGUAUUUGGUUAUUCAUUCUAGCUUUGUGAUACACUUUCAAAGAGUCGGAUUGUUUGGGAAUGCAGUCCAAAAUGGGUGGUAAAUUUCAUCUAAAGCUAAAUAUUGGCGAGAGACCGAUAGCGAACAAGUACCGUGAGGGAAAGACGAAAAGAACUUUGAAAAGAGAGUUAAACAGUACGUGAAAUUGUCAAAAGGGAAGCGUUUGACACCAGUGUUGUUUUUCCGAAAAUCAAUUACGAAUGGCUUGAUUUUGUGUUGUAUUGACCUUAUCAGCUUUCUGCACUUUUUUCGAGUCUUUCUUAAUGCACUUUUCGGUUAACAAGUCAACAUCAAUUUCUUUUGUUGUAAAAGAGUAUUCGGAAGGUGGCUUUCUUUUCGGAGAAAGUGUUUAUAGCCCUAUACUUCUACAAUCGGAGAGAUUGAGGUCUGCAGCGUAGAUCCUUCGGGGUUAGAUACACUUGUGCUAAGUUGUAGCUUUUCAUAGACAACUUGUUGACUAUGUUUAGUCAUGCGGCUUACUCGCUUGUGCUAUUUUACCUACGCUUAGGAUGUUGAGCGCAUGUCUCUCUCU